rnacentral:tRNA from 1 species
CGGCAGGUAGCCUAGUGGUUAGAGCGUUGGACUAGUAACCGAAAGGUUGCAAGAUCGAAUCCCCUGUCGU